UAGCCAGACUCCUACGGGAGGCAGCAGUGGGGAAUAUUGCACAAUGGGGGAAACCCUGAUGCAGCAACGCCGCGUGAGUGAAGAAGUCAUUCGUGAUGUAAAGCUCUAUCAGCAGGGAAGAAAAUGACGGUACCUGAGUAAGAAGCCCCGGCUAACUACGUGCCAGCAGCCGCGGUAAUACGUAGGGGGCAAGCGUUAUCCGGAUUUACUGGGUGUAAAGGGGGCGCAGACGGCGAUGCAAGCCAGGAGUGAAAGCCCGGGGCCCAACCCCGGGACUGCUCUUGGAACUGCGUGGCUGGAGUGCAGGAGGGGCAGGCGGAAUUCCUAGUGUAGCGGUGAAAUGCGUAGAUAUUAGGAGGAACACCAGUGGCGAAGGCGGCUUACUGGACUGUAACUGACGUUGAGGCUCGAAGGCGUGGGGAGCAAACAGGAUUAGAUACCCCAGUAGA
rnacentral:rRNA from 1 species